rnacentral:rRNA from 1 species
ACAACUCACAACAAUGGAUCUCUUGGCUCUGGCAUCGAUGAAGAACGCAGCGAAAUGCGAUAAAUAAUAUGAAUUGCAGAAUUCAGCGAAUCAUCGAGUUUUUGAACGCACAUUGCGCCCUCUGGCAUUCCGGAGGGCUUGUCCGACCGAGCGUCGCAUCACCGCCCAAGACUCGUUUUCUUGGUGUUGGGG